GCUGCCUGGGAAUCACGCUCCUUCCUGCUCUUUCCAAAAAGCCAGGUGCCGCCGGCCAGCAUCCCGCUCCCUUUGACCCGCAGUCUGUGCGGGAAGUAGGCCCGGAGUGGUGCCAGCAGGAGGUGGCCUUAGAAAGGCGGAGACCCAAGGAGCAGAGUGAGUCGGCGUCCAGCUCCACCUGAAAGCGCCAUCUUGUCGCCACUUCCCUCAGGAGCAGCAUGCCCAGCCUCUUGCAUAGGAAGAAGUGGUAAGCUAAGGAGAGAAAUGCAGGGUUCCUAGUACACCAAUUUUCCAACUUUUUCAUCUUGGCCCUGCUUUAAAAUGAUGCAUCUACUGUCUUCAUGCCUCAGCACAGCAGAGAAAACCAUGCUGUGUUCCAGUUUACUUUGAAUGUUUCAGUGAAAAUGAUGAAGCUGAAAAAAUGACGGAGGCCCGUUUUACAUUGCAUUUCUCAGAGUCAUCGCCUCUGCUGCAGAUGGAACAACAGCCAUGGAGAAUGAGGGUCACCUGAAUGUGGAAAAGUUGAGUUGGAGCAAAACUGGCACGGCCAUACUGGAUGGACCUCAGCAUGACCAGGACACAUUUCAGCUCAAAUCCCCUGUGCCAAGAACACAUUCUGCCAAGGACCACCACCUCUUCCCACAACUAGAGCUGGCUUACCAGAGCACCGAUGGACUUGGAUACCUGAGAUAUCUGCUUGGGAUCCCACACUUUCAAGGUCUCUCCUCUGGCCUUCUUCUGGUUCUGCGACUCCUUACAGCGCUGGGAGUUGGUGAUGCCAACAGGACAUA
rnacentral:lncRNA from 1 species